rnacentral:rRNA from 1 species
GGACAAUGGGCGCAAGCCUGAUCCAGCAAUGCCGCGUGCAGGAUGAAGGCCUUCGGGUUGUAAACUGCUUUUGUACGGAACGAAAAGCCCUGGGUUAAUACCCUGGGGUCAUGACGGUACCGUAAGAAUAAGCACCGGCUAACUACGUGCCAGCAGCCGCGGUAAUACGUAGGGUGCGAGCGUUAAUCGGAAUUACUGGGCGUAAAGCGUGCGCAGGCGGUUUUGUAAGACAGAGGUGAAAUCCCCGGGCUCAACCUGGGAACUGCCUUUGUGACUGCAAGGCUAGAGUACGGCAGAGGGGGAUGGAAUUCCGCGUGUAGCAGUGAAAUGCGUAGAUAUGCGGAGGAACACCGAUGGCGAAGGCAAUCCCCUGGGCCUGUACUGACGCUCAUGCACGAAAGCGUGGGGAGCAAACAGGAUUAGAUACCCUGGUAGUCCACGCCCUAAACGAUGUCAACUGGUUGUUGGGUCUUAACUGACUCAGUAACGAAGCUAACGCGUGAAGUUGACCGCCUGGGG